UUACGGCCAUACCACGUUGAAACAUCGGUUCUCGUACAAUCACCGUAGUUAAGCAACGUCGAGGCUGGUCAGUACAUAGAUGAAUGACUGCUUGGGAAUACGAGGUGCUGUAAG